rnacentral:lncRNA from 1 species
AGCCUGCAAGCGUGUCCCACCAUGCUCCGCGGUGGUAACGGCCUUUGGCGGGAAAGGCGCCGGGGGGCGGAGAUAGAUGACGCGAGGCGGUUGCUCCGGAAACCUGGGCACCUCUUCAGCACUUCGGUGCGGUACCACCGCCGGCGGGAGUGGCAGGUGAUCUCGUUUAAAAGCCGAAGCGGAGCUGUGUGGCUUCUGCCUCUGGGAACCUGCGGUGGGCUGCAUUUUAGUGUCUAGACGGAUCCUCCAUAUCUAUCUAAAUGAACUGUGCCUUCAGCUUUUCUCUUCCUCCUUUCAAAGGAUGAAAAGGGAAGAGUGGCAAAAUAGUGACUGCAGGGCCGAGAUCCGGGUUCUGUGCUAAUCUAGGGAGAUAACUUUAUUUUUAUAAUUUUUUUGCCAAGGUGAUCUGCAAUAGGAUUCUUGCGUUGGAUAACUCAAUUUUGCUUCUUUGUUUUGUAAUAACGGGAAUAGAAGUUAGCAUUGCGUGUGAAAUCAUACAGGCUUGUAGUGUUAAUGAACUCGAAUUAUAAUAAAAGGAAACCAAUCUGGACUUAAGCUUGUGUGCCUGAAAUCCUAUCACUCCGGAAGCUGACGCAAGGGAUACACAGUUCUAUUAAAGUUUAGCCCGGAGCGGGGAAGUGGUGGUGCAUGCCUUUAAUCCCAGCACUUGUGAGGAAGAAGCUGGUUCGAGGCCAGCCUGGUUUGCAAAUCCAGGAAAGCCAGGGCUACACAGAGAAACCCUGUCUUGAAAAAAAAAAAAAAGAGGGGACCUGACUUAGACCCCAUAUUGGAAGUAGAGAACCAUCAGGGAAGUUAUCCUUCGAUUCUCCCAUGCAUGCUGUGUGUGUGUAUUGCCACCACCCUGAAGGUCAUGUGCACACAUUCAAUAUCAAGUAGUUUUUAUUUUAUUAGUGUCUGUAUGUAUGUUCUAGGGAAUCUUAGGUCAUCAGGCUUGUAAGGCCUUUUAUCCACUGAGCCAUUUCUCUUGUUUUAUUUUCUGUGAAACAGGAUCUCAUAUAGCCUACCUAGGCUGGCCUCAAAUUUGUUGUGUGACUGAAAAUGUCCUUGAACUCUUUACUCUUUUUAAAUAAAGAUUUUUUUAAAAUA